UUAAUUUUUCCCCGUGUAAAUUCCCAUAAGGAAUCGGGGUCCCUUUAGUUUAAAUUCAUUUUUAAUUUAUUGGUGCCUUAAAUAAAAUUUAUUUCUCAUUGAUCGUGUUCCCAGAUGAAUUAGUAACAUUUUCAUGUAUGGUAAGUAUUACUUGUGGCUUAUAUUAAUUAUGUAAUUUGAACUUUCAUUAGGUUGUUUUGAUUCUGGAAUGUCAAAACAGAUUUGUUGUGUGUUUGCCGUUUGGCUGCGGUAACAGAUACAAUGUUUAUGAAUCUGUUAUGUAAGUUUUGCAUCCCAAAAUUGAAUGUUAUUGGACAUCCAGAAUAUGUGGUUUUAUAAAGUAGGAGCCAUGUAUGGCUGAAAAGAACAAAAUGAGAAAAAAAGAUCGACAAAAGAAAGCAGAGUUUGCAACAUUUUGCUUCCGGUCAGCCAAGUUAUGUAUUUAACUAAAGAUGUUGACUGGGCACCAACACGUAAUCAUGAGAAUAAUUCCAUUGGGAUGGCUACUGUUAAAAGAAUUAGUCGCUCUGUAAGAAGGCAGAUUGCUUGUAUAUGUUCAAAGAUACAGUUCCAAAAGAUGCAGUAACUGAUUUCAUGAAAGAUACCGCUGGAUAUACCCAAUGCAGAACACCUUUGAUAGACACAUCAACAAAUUGGUGAAUCAACAAACGGGCAGCAUCCAUCUACCUGCAACACAGCUCUUGCAUUAGAAAACUAGGCAUUGGUUCUUCGAAUAAAAGUAUUGAAAAAUGAAAGUAUUGAAAAAUGAAAAGACAAUUACUAGUUGAAACAGUGUCACAUGUUCAGUAUCUGUAUUAAAAACUUCUUUUCACCUCGUUUAAUACAAAUGUGUCUCUAGAAAAAAGAAUCGUGUGUAUUCUUAAAGUGAUAAAUAAAUAACGAUAAUGAAUCAGAUAGCCUAAUCAUAGUGAA
rnacentral:lncRNA from 1 species